rnacentral:misc_RNA from 1 species
AUUUAUUCAUAAGCUGGAUAUGUUACACACAAGAGCAAGAGCAAGCGAAGCGACGACGCAGAGCGCUUGCUUAGCAUUUGGGGAUGGCUAUGCCGCACGAGGUAAAGGUUUUGGCGGUGUUGGGGUUGUUGAUGUAUUUUGCAAACUUGGGGUCUUUGGCGUACACGCACAAGCAUGCCUCCUGCGCACGCAGGGUGGAGCAGCAUGCUGCCGCGGGUUUCGCUCCGUCCAUGAACGCCGGAUCGCACACCACCAGCGGCUUGGGAUCGCACGCCGCUGCCGCCCUGCCACCGCCUGUGCUCGUCGUCGCCAUCACCACCACCAGGGCCAGGGCGGCUACAAACAUCGCGGUCGACUUGGCCAUGGUAUCUUCAGUACAG